GACCACCCAAGAGGCAGCAUGUAACUUGCCCAGCUGAGAAAGAUCUGCAGGGUUGUCAGCAAGCCACUCCUAUGGACAGUGUGUGUACGCUCGGCAGCAAGAUGUGGAGGUGGAGACACUGCUGAAUCUCUCUGAGCAUUGGGACAGAGUAACUAAGGAUGAGGAAGAGGAACAGACAAAACUGAAGGCCUACCUCAGGCUGCAUCUAUGGAAGCUCACAAACUCGCAAAGGGAAGAAAGUUCCAGACAGUUCACAAGUCUCAGAACGUUAGGGGAUUCAGAUGUACACCUCCUCCUACCACUGGCUGAUGCUCAGCAUUGGGCUUGUCAUUAUUAAUUCUCACUUGCGUGAGAGAAGUUGGGAGAAAUGUUGUUAACUAAUCUGACCUAAUAAAGUAGCGCAUGUCAGGACUCAGGUGCAGAACACUCAUCGUGUGGGGUCCCAGUGGAUGCUUCAGUCACGUUUCCCCCGGCAGUGGAGGAGCAGUCACGCGCUUAGAGGAAAGUGUCUAAUGUGGGUUGCAAGAGACUGGCUGGGUUAAUGCAGAACGUAGACCCGGAAAGCACCUUAGAGACAUAUGGAAAGGAAUGAGUUCUGUAAGGAUAUCACAGGGAAAAAAUUGUCAAAGAUGCAUGGGAUACAAAGAAACAAGAUUAUGAAUGUUACAACAGCAGACCCAGUGAUUAACUUGCAAUUUAUGGUGAGGAAUC